ensembl:lncRNA
AUUUGAGAAUCUUACCUUUCGGCCCCUGUUGGUUUUCACACACACUGUUUCUAUGUUAGGCGGGCAAUGGAAAAACUGUCAGGUAUCAUGGUUGGAUCUGUAAACACACGUGAGUCAUGUUCUUCCUUUUCUAUCAUAUUAAACUGAUUUCAUAUCUGCAUCUAAUGGCAGGUGGUUCUCAAUAUUAAGGAAGUCAUCUGAACGUCUUUGUCUGACAGAGAGUGGAAGCUUGUCGUGCAGAGCUGAACAGAGAAUAUCAGCUCACUCUUCUGUUUUAUUUUCUAGCUCUCGAUGUCGGAAAGGCUCAGAUUAUUGAGUCUCCUUAGAGUACACUUGGUUUAAUAUUCUGCUUUAAUACUCUGACACGUUACCCAACUCUCACUUCCUCUUCAAUGGCAACCAAAGCACGUAGGCUUUAUGUAGUCACAGGGCACUGAUAAUGCAGAUAUUAGCUGCUCUCCGCAGCCGAGCUUUACUUCGGUAUUAUGAAGACUUUAUUACUAGUCAUUCUGGGGGGAAAGGCCCGAUGAAGACUGUCGAGUCAAAAGAAGGCAUCUUGUUAGUCUCCAUUGCACAUGACCUCAUUUUUAGUGUCCGUGCUCACUAACACGUGUUUUACUCGCUGCUCUUUGACAAAAGGCUCACAAAAAUGUUGAUCCUAUUUGUACUUUUUUUCAGUCUCACGAUCGUUUCAGUGGGUAAUGCAACACUGGUGUAUGUUAACACCACUAUCACCGACUCAGCAGUCCUCGAAUGUAGUAUACAAAAUAAAAAUAUCACGGACUGGAGUAAUGUUCGUUUUUAUUGGCAAGAUAACAGGGAUUUUGUGUUGUAUUCCUAUAAUGAAGGAAGAAAGAUGGCUGAGCAUGUAAAUGACUACUAUAAACACAGAGUCACAGCCUUCCCUCAGGACAUAAUUAGAGGAAAUAUCAGCAUCAUAAUCAAAAACCUGACUCUUGAAGAUAACGAAAGGACUUUCUGGGCUUUUGCGGCAGUCUUGGACGGCAGCGUGAUGAAGAAAUACCACCUGGAACACACACAGAUCUGCCAAGUAACUUUACAGAUCGGUGUUCCUUAUCAGAAUCCCAGGCUAGAUGUUAAUAUGAAAACAAUGACUGCAGUGUGCACUACCCAAGGAGGAUUUCCUGCCCCUGAGAUACAAUGGGUCCUCCUCUAUACCAGCUCUCAUCAAUCAGUAGAGUCGAGGAACAUCCAAACUACAACGAUGCAGAAUUAUCACGACCGCCUUUACAGCUCCCGCAGCACUCUACUAAUCCCUGCAGGUCCUCACGAGGCCGUGAGCUGUCUCAUCCACAACCCGACUUUGAACACGACAAAGAGGGCCACCGACACUUUCAGCAAAGGUGCUGGAGUGACGAGCUCCCCUGAAUGUCUGAUAUCUGCUGCUGUGUUUCUUCUAACAGCUCUACACUGGCUGUGAUUCACAGCAAAGGUUUUUUCUCUUUAGGAUCUAUCAUGUUAAACAGCCACCUGACAUAGACUGAUCCACCCAUCCAUGUUCUGCUGUUGGUACCAGGGUCUGGUUUUGGUAAUGGACUACUCCAGAGGAGUGAUUUUACCUCAUGCUGAAAAUACUUCGUGCCAUGGAGACACUUCUACUAUCCAUAAUUCAAACUUACUAGUUUAAUUCUUUUGCAUGUUUCACCCUACCUUUGCAUCAUUAUAAUCUCCUCCUGGCUGUCUCUUCAGCAGUAAGUAGAGAAAAAGAAGGGCAAUCACAGGGCAAACCACUGUGGCAAUUUUUAAAUGUUAAUACUCUUUGUAAUUUAUUUUUCUUGACUUACUUGUUUUGUACUUCAUUUGGUAGUGAAAGGUGUUCAGAGUUGGUUGGUUGGUGCUAGUGUGGGUUUCAUAGAGUCCUCCUGUGUGCCAACAAUCUUUUUUUAUACUUUAGUCUUAUUAUUUAUUCUUUUAGUCUAUUGAAAGACAGUUAAAAGGAAAUUAUAUUUCUAGUAAAAUCAGGAAAGUGCUUUCCAGAAAGUUUGUUUUAAAACUCAGAAGAAGUUCCAGACAGUGUUAAAGUGGGAUUGCCAGGUGGGAAAUGACUCAUUCAACAUUUAGUCAAAAAAUUAUGUGUACUGUGAAUUACAGUUGUCUUUCUGGACAGGCUGAGAACUGUGCUCUAGCUACAUUUAGCUAAGAAGAUGUUACGAGGGCUAUUGGGGCCGCUUUCCAACCCCCAGCCUGCAUGACACCAGUAAAGAAAUACAGAAUAACAGUAAUAUCGAAUACAUUAGCUUACCUUUAAACUGACGACUGAAACCUUUGAAACCAACUGUGAGCAUCUGCUUCGUAUCAGUCCAACAUCCAUCACUGUGAACUUUGAUUUGCUGAAAGACACUUGACAACAAAUUAAACAAACAAAUCAAUAAACAUAAACAUAGAUUAUGAACCUCAAAUGUUCUGGAAAUAAACAUUUAUAAAACACAUCUACAGUCAU